UCUCUGGAGGACUAGUGGUUAGGCCAUGGCGCUUUCACCACUGCGGCCCGGGUUCAAUUCCCGGCCAGGGAG
rnacentral:tRNA from 1 species